rnacentral:misc_RNA from 1 species
AAAGAUUCAUUCAAUCACUUAAAUAGAAUCUGAACAAGCAAACAGAUGAAAUCUUGUUCAGAUAAAUGCUACAGAAAUAUAAAUAGAUUCAGUUUUGCACGAUAAGAGAAACAAAGAUCAUUAACUUAUGGUACUUUGGAGUGGUAGUGCAAAGGGAACUUGAAGCCUUUGAGAGAGAGUUUACACAGUGGCAUUAGCCAUUAACAAGGUACAUGCCAUGCCACAUUUUGAAACUGACAUGCAGUGCUAAGGUGAUAGGUGAGAGAAACACCUUACUACUGCAAGCCUCAUAAAACAGACCUAACAACUAUACAUGUUGAUGCAAAGGCAAUGGCUCUAUUAUUUUAUUGUAACUACUAUACAGCUUAUAAUUUAAUUCUUGUAAUUUUAACUUGCAUUAUUUUUACUUUCCUUAUAUUUCUAGCAAUUUUAAGAUUCCUAUUUUGACAAACUUGUACACAUAAAACUAGGAUUUCUAGUAUUACAAAUAGGUAUCUUAUGUACUUGUUGGUGAGAUGGAGUGAGUAUCCUCAUUUUAAAUGAAAUUCCAGACCUAAUGGAGUGAGCAUCCUUAGAUGUAGAUAGGCCAUUCACAAGUACAAGCCAACACUAACAUUAUAGAUUUUGAGCUAAAAUUUCAAAAUUAAUAAGGAAAGAUGUUCUCUUCAUUAGAAAUUAUAAAGCCUAGAACUAUUUCUUUUAAUUAAUUAAGAACAUAUUCAAAAACCUCAAAGCAAAUGUCAG